GCAAAGCUGCCUUUCUUGUUGCUUUCCUUUUGUUCCCGGAUGCACUUUGCUUUGAUAAUGGCCGUGAGGAACCAACUUUGAACCAGCAUUUCCUCUAAUUUCCAACUUUGAAGUAGCCGUGAACCAGGAAACCAACUCGAGACUCGAGAGUAGUCAUUUGAAUCUUUGGAGUUGGAGAUUGAAAAGUGAUUGGAUGGAAUUGGAAAGUUG